CCAAGCUAAUCUUCCCUGGGUAAGUCGGGACCUAAGGCGAGGCCGACAGGCGUAGUCGAUGGACAACGGGUUGAUAUUCCCGUACCGGCGAAGAACCGCCCCAGUCAAUCCAGUAGUGCUAAGUAUCUGAAUCCUCGUGACCGGAUCCUUCGGGUGAUGGCGUGAGGCCUAGCGUACGACCCCAUUCUGGUGCGGCUAGCGUAUUAACAGGUGUGACGCAGGAAGGUAGCCCAAGCCAGGCGAUGGUUGUCCUGGUGCAAGUGCGUAGGCCGAACCGUAGGCAAAUCCGCGGUUCACACAGGCUGAGACACGAUGCGGAUGAAAAGUGGGUGAUCCUAUGCUGCCAAGAAAAGCAUCGACGCGAGGUUCAAGCCGCCCGUACCCCAAACCGACUCAGGUGGUCAGGUAGAGAAUACUAAGGAGAUCGAGAGAAUCGUGGUUAAGGAACUCGGCAAAAUGCCCCCGUAACUUCGGGAGAAGGGGGGCCACCCGCUUAUACGGACUUGCUCCGGAAAGGGUGUGGUGGCCGCAGAGACUAGUGGGUAGCGACUGUUUACUAAAAACACAGGUCCGUGCCAAGUCGCAAGACGAUGUAUACGGACUGACGCCUGCCCGGUGCUGGAAGGUUAAGAGGACCGGUUAGCCGCAAGGCGAAGCUGAGAAUUUAAGCCCCAGUAAACGGCGGUGGUAACUAUAACCAUCCUAAGGUAGCGAAAUUCCUUGUCGGGUAAGUUCCGACCUGCACGAAUGGCGUAACGACUUCCCAACUGUCUCAACCGCGAACUCGGCGAAAUUGCAUUACGAGUAAAGAUGCUCGUUACGCGCAGCAGGACGGAGAGACCCCGUGACCUUUACUACAGCUUGGUAUUGGUGUUCGGUGUGGCUUGUGUAGGAUAGGUGGGAGACUUUGAAGCGUGGACGCCAGUUCAUGUGGAGUCAUUGUUGAAAUACCACUCUGGUCACUCUGGAUAUCUAACUUCGAACCGUGAUCCGGUUCAGGGACAGUGCCUGGUGGGUAGUUUAACUGGGGCGGUUGCCUCCCAAAAAGUAACGGAGGCGCCCAAAGGUUCCCUCAACCUGGUUGGCAAUCAGGUGUCGAGUGUAAGUGCACAAGGGAGCUUGACUGUGAGACUGACAGGUCGAGCAGGGACGAAAGUCGGGACUAGUGAUCCGGCAGUGGCUUGUGGAAGCGCUGUCGCUCAACGGAUAAAAGGUACCUCGGGGAUAACAGGCUGAUCUUGCCCAAGAGUCCAUAUCGACGGCAUGGUUUGGCACCUCGAUGUCGGCUCGUCGCAUCCUGGGGCUGGAGUAGGUCCCAAGGGUUGGGCUGUUCGCCCAUUAAAGCGGUACGCGAGCUGGGUUUAGAACGUCGUGAGACAGUUCGGUCCCUAUCCGCUGCGCGCGUAGGAAGUUUGAGAGGAUCUGACCCUACGAGAGGACCGGGUUGGACGAACCUCUGGUGUGCCAGUUGUUCCGCCAGGAGCACCGCUGGUUAGCUACGUUCGGGAUGGAUAACCGCUGAAAGCAUCUAAGCGGGAAGCCGGCCUCAAGAUGAGACUUCCAUACCUUCGGGUGAGAGGCUCCCAGCCAGACUACUGGGUUGAUAGGCCAGAUGUGUAAGCACAGCAAUGUGUGCAGCUGACUGGUACUAAUAAGCCGAUGACUUGAAAAA
rnacentral:rRNA from 1 species